rnacentral:rRNA from 1 species
GACGAACGCUGGCGGCGUGCUUAACACAUGCAAGUCGAACGCUGAAGCCCUUCGGGGUGGAUGAGUGGCGAACGGGUGAGUAACACGUGGGUAAUCUGCCCUGCACUCUGGGAUAAGCCUUGGAAACGGGGUCUAAUACCGGAUAGGACACAUCGCCGCAUGGUGUGUGUGUGGAAAGUUCCGGCGGUGCAGGUUGAGCCCGCGGCCUAUCAGCUUGUUGGUGGGGUGAUGGCCUACCAAGGCGACGACGGGUAGCCGGCCAGAGAGGGUGACCGGCCACACUGGGACUGAGACACGGCCCAGACUCCUACGGGAGGCAGCAGUGGGGAAUCUUGCGCAAUGGGCGAAAGCCUGACGCAGCAACGCCGCGUGGGGGAUGACGGCCUUCGGGUUGUAAACCUCUUUCGACCGGGACGAAGGAUUCGUUUGACGGUACCGGUAGAAGAAGCACCGGCUAACUACGUGCCAGCCGCCGCCGUAA